rnacentral:rRNA from 1 species
GCUUAAGGCCAUAUCACUCUGAACACGUCUGAUCUCAGAAGCUAAACAGUGUUGGGCCUGGUUAGUACUUGGAUGGGAGACUGCUUGGUAAUACCAGGUGCUGUAAGUU